rnacentral:rRNA from 1 species
GAUGAACGCUGGCGGCGUGCUUAACACAUGCAAGUCGAGCGAGAAGUUAUUGAAUGAUCCUUCGGGUGAAUGAUAUAACGGACAGCGGCGGACGGGUGAGUAACGCGUGGGUAACCUGCCCUGUACAGAGGGAUAGCCACUGGAAACGGUGAUUAAUACCUCAUAAGACUAAGAAGUCGCAUGACUUAUUGGUCAAAGCUCCGGCGGUACAGGAUGGACCCGCGUCUGAUUAGCUAGUUGGUAAGGUAACGGCUUACCAAGGCAACGAUCAGUAGCCGGCCUGAGAGGGUGAACGGCCACACUGGAACUGAGACACGGUCCAGACUCCUACGGGAGGCAGCAGUGGGGAAUAUUGCACAAUGGGCGAAAGCCUGAUGCAGCAACGCCGCGUGAGCGAAGAAGGCCUUCGGGUCGUAAAGCUCUGUCCUCAGGGAAGAAUUUUGACGGUACCUGAGGAGGAAGCCCCGGCUAACUACGUGCCAGCCGCCGCCGUAACAC